GGUCAGUGAUGAUCCUUGGCAUGUAUUAGCUGAUGCUAGCUGAUGCCCAACCUCUUCAGCUCUAGAAUUACUCUGAGGCCCA
rfam:Picoides pubescens contig14839, whole genome shotgun sequence.